CCUACGGGAGACAGCAGUGGGGAAUAUUGCGCAAUGGGCGAAAGCCUGACGCAGCGACGCCGCGUGAGGGAUGAAGGUCUUCGGAUCGUAAACCUCUGUCAGCAGGGAAGAACGGUCACUGUGCUAAUCAGCAGUGAAUUGACGGUACCUGCAAAGGAAGCACCGGCGAACUCCGUGCCAGCAGCCGCGGUAAUACGGAGGGUGCGAGCGUUAAUCGGAAUUACUGGGCGUAAAGCGCGCGUAGGCGGUAUGUCAAGUCAAGGGUGAAAUCCCCGCGCUCAACGUGGGCACUGCCUUUGAAACUGGCAAACUUGAGUGUGUGAGAGGAUAGUGGAAUUCCAGGUGUAGGAGUGAAAUCCGUAGAUAUCUGGAGGAACAUCAGUGGCGAAGGCGACUAUCUGGCACAUAACUGACGCUGAGGAGCGAAAGCGUGGGUAGCAAACAGGAUUAGAUACCCGGGUAGUC
rnacentral:rRNA from 1 species